rnacentral:rRNA from 1 species
ACCUACGGGGGGCAGCAGUGGGGGAUAUUGCACAAUGGGGGAAACCCUGAUGCAGCGACGCCGCGUGGACGAAGAAGUAUUUCGGUAUGUAAAGUCCUAUCAGCAGGGAAGAAGAAAUGACGGUACCUGACUAAGAAGCCCCGGCUAACUACGUGCCAGCAGCCGCGGUAAUACGUAGGGGGCAAGCGUUAUCCGGAUUUACUGGGUGUAAAGGGAGCGCAGGCGGCAGCGCAAGUCUGAUGUGAAAGCCCGGGGCCCAACCGCGUGACUGCGUUGGAAACUG